AAGAGGAGUGGCGAACGGGUGAGUAACACGUGGGUAACCUGCCCAUCAGAAGGGGAUAACACUUGGAAACAGGUGCUAAUACCGUAUAACAAUCAAAACCGCAUGGUUUUGAUUUGAAAGGCGCUUUCGGGUGUCGCUGAUGGAUGGACCCGCGGUGCAUUAGCUAGUUGGUGAGGUAACGGCUCACCAAGGCGAUGAUACAUAG
rnacentral:rRNA from 1 species